rnacentral:sRNA from 1 species
UAAUUCUAGGGUUAGAAUGAUUUUUCGAUUUGGGGGAAAUGAAGUUCGAUUUGGGAUUUAUGUGUCGUUUUGUUUCAACAGUAAACUGUGUCGUUUUUGAGAUAACAGAGGCAACUAACGACACUUAAACAGCGUUAACGUUCUCUGUUAAGCAACUUAACGACAUGUCUAAAAUGACUGGUCAACCGAAACUUUGCGAUUUAAAUUUAAAGUCAACAGAAACUUUGUGAUUUAUUUGUCUUCCGCGUAGUUGAAGAUUUAAUCGUCCCAAAUUUGAAAGUUCAUGUUUUUUUUAACAUUUUUCCCAUAGAUUUAUAGUGACUUUUUUU